CCUCCUCCUCCUCCAUUUUCUCUCACUUAAUUAAUCCCUACACAACACAGGGAUUAUUAAAUAAUAAUUCGAAGAAGGGGAAAUUGGAAGAGAUAUUGCAUUAUUGGAAGUGGGCAUCUCAGAUUUCUGGGCAUAAAAAUAUCAGACAUUCAAAGUGGGGAAUCUGAUUUUCCUUCAAAUGCUUAAAUUUCUAUAAGUGGGCUAUUGAGAUUGGAAUUCUAUAAGAUUUUUUUUUUUUUUGGGGGAGAAGGAAAAAAAAAAAAUUCGAAUCAUUUAUUUUUCUUCUUCCCUAAAAAAUGGCAGCAGCGAUUGAAAUAGAAAGCGUGGAGUGUGUAUCUAUUAUGUCAGAUGGAAUCGAAGAAGAAGAAGAAGAGAUCCAUUCAUCUCAUCACUAUUCUUCUAAACCUCUUAUUAAUAAUAAUAAUAACAAAGUAGCAUCUGGAAUUGCCCCCACAAGCGUCCAUGAAUUACUGGAAUGCCCUGUUUGCACUAAUUCUAUGUACCCUCCUAUCCAUCAGUGUCACAACGGGGAAUACACUGUGUUCGACAUGCAAGACAAAGGGUGCAUAUAGAUGCCCCACUUGCAGAAAAGAGCUUGGAGAUAUCAGGUGUUUAGCCCUAGAGAAGGUUGCCGAGUCGUUAGACCUGCCCUGCAAGUACUACUCUUUGGGCUGCCCCGAUAUAUUCCCUUAUUACAGCAAACUCAAACACGAAGCCGUCUGCGAUUUCAGACCGUACAGCUGUCCCUACGCUGGAUCAGAAUGUGUAGUCACCGGGGAUAUUCCUUUUCUCGUUUCCCACUUGAGAGACGACCACAAAGUCGACAUGCACAGUGGCUGCACCUUCAAUCACCGCUAUGUUAAGUCGAAUCCACGUGAAGUUGAAAACGCAACUUGGAUGUUAACCGUAUUCCAUUGUUUUGGGCAAUAUUUCUGUCUACACUUUGAAGCAUUUCAGCUAGGAGCAGCCCCAGUAUACAUGGCGUUUCUUCGAUUUAUGGGGGAUGAAAGUGAAGCAAGAAACUACAGCUACAGUUUAGAGGUAGGAGCAAAUGGGAGAAAACUUAUAUGGGAAGGUACCCCACGGAGCGUUAGAGAUAGCCACCGGAAAGUGAGAGAUAGCCAUGAUGGUCUUAUUAUCCAAAGAAACAUGGCCCUUUUCUUCUCUGGCGGUGAUCGGAAAGAGCUCAAGCUACGAGUCACCGGAAGAAUCUGGAAAGAACAACAGAAUCCAGAUACCGGUGUCUGCAUACCAAAUCUUUGUAGUUAACACAAGUUCAUUUUUUUCGACAUUUUUUUUUUCAACUUCUUCGAUUUGUGCGUGUUUGUGUAUGUAAUCGAAAUUCUGCAUUUUUACCAUAUCAAAUGCUUUUUCUU